rnacentral:rRNA from 1 species
UAGGGAAUCUUCGGCAAUGGACGAAAGUCUGACCGAGCCACGCCGCGUGAGUGAAGAAGGUUUUCGGAUCGUAAAACUCUGUUGUUAGAGAAGAACAAGGACGUUAGUAACUGAACGUCCCCUGACGGUAUCUAACCAGAAAGCCACGGCUAACUACGUGCCAGCAGCCGCGGUAAUACGUAGGUGGCAAGCGUUGUCCGGAUUUAUUGGGCGUAAAGCGCACGCAGGCGGUUUGUUAAGUCAGAUGUGAAAUCCCCGGGCUCAACCUGGGAACUGCAGCUGAUACUGGCAAGCUUGAGUCUCGUAGAGGGGGGUAGAAUUCCAGGUGUAGCGGUGAAAUGCGUAGAGAUCUGGAGGAAUACCGGUGGCGAAGGCGGCCGCCUGGACGAAGACUGACGCUCAGGUGCGAAAGCGUGGGGAGCAAACAGG